rnacentral:rRNA from 1 species
GAGUGAAGAGGGACAAGCUCAAAUUUUAAAUCUGUCGGGUUCUACCUGACCGAGUUGUAAUUUGAAGAGGCGUUUUCUGUGUUUCUGAUCAGUCCAAGUCCUUUGGGAUAAGGCAUCACGGAGGGUGAGAAUCCCGUUCGGUUGAUCAGAUUCGCUUUACGAUACGCUUUCAAAGAGUCAAGUUGUUUGGGAUUGCAGCUUAAAAUGGGAGGUAAAUUUCUCCUAAGGCUAAAUAACGGCGAGAGACCGAUAGCGAACAAGUACCGUGAGGGAAAGAUGAAAAGAACUUUGAAAAGAGAGUUAAAUAGUACGUGAAAUUGUUGAAAGGGAAACGAUUGAAGCCAGUCGUACCUGCGGGUAAUCAGCCUUUUGGGCAUGAUUCUGUGGAGCGUGAGGAGUUAAACGCCUUCAUGCCUGCAUAUUCGUGUACAUUGGGUGUCCUUGCCUGUGUGGUUAGUUAACAUCAAUUUUGGUUAUCAUAAAAUGGUUGGAGGAAUGUAGCUUCGAUUUCGAUUGAAGUGUUAUAGCCUUCGGCAGAUGUGAUGAUCGGGAUUGAGGAUUGCAACGGAUACCCUUCGGGGCUACCUGUCUGGUCUCUGAUCGUUGCUUUGGUGCCGAAAGCGUGCUUACGGUUACCAAAGUCGAUGGUCAAUAGGUUAGAACGGGUUAAAUUCGUUA